GAUGAACGCUGACAGAAUGCUUAACACAUGCCAGUCUUUGGCGAAGCUGUGCUUGCACCGCCUAGCCAAGGCGGACGGGUGAGUAACGCGUAAGGAACUUGCCCUGCAGUCAGGGAUAACAGACGGAAACGACUGAUAAGACCUGGUAAAGUCAGGCGGACUCAUGUCCAGCCUGAUGAAAAGAGAUGCUGCAGGAGAGCCUUGGGUCCUAUUAGCUUGUUGGUGGGGUAACGGCCCACCAAGGCGAUGAUAGGUAGCCGGCCGGGGAGGGUGGACGGCGACACGGGAACUGAGAAGCGGUCAGGACUCCUAAGGGAGGCAGCAGUGGGGAAUCUGACGCAAUGGGCGGGAGCCUGACGGAGCAAGGGCGCGUAAGUGAUGAAGGUCUACGGAUCGAAAAAAUAUGUUAUGAGGGAAGAACAAAUGGGUAAGGAAAUAUGCACGUCUUGACGGUACCUAAUCAGAAAGCCACGGCUAACUACGUG
rnacentral:rRNA from 1 species